UCAAGAUACGCAGAAGAAAAGCAGGUACAGGAGGAGGAAGAGGAGGAGGAGGAAGAAACAGAGCAGGAGGAGGAGGAAGACGAGAAGGUGGAGGAGGAGGAAAAUAAAAUAGAAGAAGUGAAGCCAUGGUGGAGGAGCUCGAGAUACACAGAAGAGAAGCAGGUACAGGAGGAGGAAGAGGAGGAGGAGGAAGAAACAGAGCAGGAGGAGGAGGAAGACGAGAAGGUGGAGGAGGAGGAAAAUAAAAUAGAAGAAGUGAAGCCAUGGUGGAGGAGCUCGAGGUAUGCAGGAGAGAAGGAGCAGUUGAAGGAAAAGGAGGAGGAGAAAGAAGAAGAGGACGAGGAGGUGGAAGAGGAGAAGGUGGAGGAAGUGAAAGAGUGGAGGAGGAACUGGAGACAGGCGAGAGAGAAGGAUGAGGAAACUGUGGAGGAGGAGAAGGAGGAUGAGACAGAAGAGGAGGAAGAGGAGAAGGAUGAGGAGACAGACCAGGAGGAGGAGGAAGAGGUGGAAGAGGAGGAGGAGGCAAAUAAAAUAGAAGAAGUGAAGCCAUGGUGGAGGAGCUCGAGAUAUGCAGGAGAAAAAGAGGAAGAGGAGACAGAGAAAGAGGAGAAGGAGGAGGAAGAGACAGAGCAGGAUGAGGAGGAAGAGGAGGAGGAGGAUGGGGAAGAGGAGAAGGUGGAGGAGGUGAAAGAUUGUAGGAGGAAUUGGAGAAAGGCAGGAGAGAAGGAUGAGGAGAUUGAGGAGCAGGGGCAGGAGGAGGAGACAGAGCAGGAGGAGGAGGAAGAUAAAGAGGUGGGGGAGGAAGAUAAACUAGAAGAAGUGGUGCCGUGGUGGAGGAGCUCGAGAUACCAAAGAGAGAAGGAGGAGGUGAAGGAAAAGGAGGAGGAGAAAGAAGAGGAGGAGGUGGAACUGGAGGAUGAGAAAGAAAGGGAGGAUGGGGAAGAGGAGGUGAAGGAGAGGGAGGAAAAUGAUGAAGAGGGAGCAACAGAGGAGAAGGGGAAGGGGGAGGAUCAAUUAGAGGAGAAGAUGAAUGAUUGGAGGAGGAGCUGGAGAUCCCCAGGAGAGGAGGAGGGAGAGGAGAAGGAGGAGGAAGAGGAGGAGGAAGAGGAGGAGGAGGAGGAGACAGAGGAGGAGGAGAAGGAGGAAGAGGAGGAGACAGAGCAGGAUGGGGAGGACGAGGAAGAGGUGGAGGAGGAGGAAAAUAAAAAAGAAGAGGUGGUGCCGUGGUGGAGGAGCUCGAGAUAUGCAAGAGAGAAGGAGAGGGUGAAGGAAAAGGAGGAGGAGAAAGAAGAGGAGGAUGAGAAAGAUGGGGAGGAGGAUGGGGAAGCGGGGAAGGUGGAGGAGGUGAAAGAUGAAGAGGAGACAGAGCAGGAUGAGGAAGAGGAAGAGAAAGAGUUGGAGGAGGCAAAGAUUGAAGAGGAGGAGAAGGAGGAGGAGGCUGAGGAGGAGACAGAGAAGGAUGGGGAGGAAGAGAGAGAGGUGGAGGAGGAGGAAAAUAAACUAGAAGAAGUGGUGCCGUCGUGGUGGAGCUCGAGGUACGCAGGAGAGAAGGAGAGGGUGAAGGAAAAGAAGGAGGACAAAGAAGAGGAGCUGAUGAAAGAGUGGAGGAAGGACUGGAGACAGGCAGGAGAGAAGGUGGAGGAGGAGCACGAGGAGGAGGAGGAAGAGCAGGAUGAGGAGGAAGAGAAAGAGGUGGAGGAGGAAGAGAUUGAAGAGGAGGGGAAGAAGGAGGAGCAAAAUGAUGAAGAGGGAGCAACAGAGGAGGUGGGAAAGGGGGAGGAUUGGAGGAGGAGCUGGAUAUCCCCAGGAGAGGAGGAGGGAGAGGAGGAGGAGGAGGAGGAGGAGGAGGAGGAGGAGGAGGAAGAGACAGAGCAGGUUG
ensembl:lncRNA